rnacentral:rRNA from 1 species
AUACGGAGGGUGCAAGCGUUGUUCGGAAUCACUGGGCGUAAAGGGCGCGCAGGCGGUUUUACAAGUCAGAUGUGAAAGCCCACGGCUCAACCGUGGAAGUGCAUUUGAAACUGUAAGACUUGAGUAUCAGAGGGGAAGGUGGAAUUCCCGGUGUAGAGGUGAAAUUCGUAAAUAUCGGGAGGAAUACCGGUGGCGAAGGCGACUUUCUGGCUGAAUACUGACGCUGAGGCGCGAAAGCGUGGGGAGCAAACAGGAUUAGAUACCCCAGUAGUCC